CCCGGAAGUAGUCAUCGUUGGGUGGAUCAGGACUUUUAGUUCCGGAGCACCACAGGUUCCUGCUUCCGGCUGUCUUUCCAAAUGGGGACUGUCGAAGGUGGUCUACCUGCUCUCCCCAUGGCUAAAGGGGACAGUGGAACGACCAGAGGCAGAUGAAGCCCAGUCAGAGACGAACACGAUGGUUUAGAGAAGUGACAUUUGCGGAUCACAAGGUUUCGGAAGUUGGAGAUUCUUUUGAAUGGAGACCGCUUGUGGACUGACCUAUUAGCAGGAAUCAAGACAGUGUCUGACAGCAGCAAGCAGUGGCUUCCUGUAAUACGACAUUCCCUGUACAGGCUGUGGCUCUUUUGUGAGAAGCCAGUGUCACUUGGUCUGCGGUCUGAGACCUGCCAUCUGAGAUGCUGCAACUCUCUGGAACUGUGCUGGGGACCAGGGCCCGAGAGUCAACAGAAGCUUUCAGAAGAAACAAAGCAAAGCAAAGAGCAGAGAAGUCCAGUCUGGGAGACCUUUGUGGAGCAUGCGUGUGUGUGUGUGUGUGUGUGUGUGUGUGUGUAUGUGCGCGUGCGUGUGUGUGUUGAUGCUGAGAAAUGUUUAACCUGCUCCCACUCUCACCCCAGAUGUUGGAUACAUGCAUUCUGUGUUACAGAUCAACAGAUAAGUAAAAAGACAAUUUUCCUUCUAGAAGUACAUUUAUUAAGAGUAUGUUGUUUUGUGGAAAUGUGAAAACAUUUUAAAAUGAUGUCUUCAUUGUGUGCAGGGAUGUCCGUAUGAGCACAGAUGCACACAGAGACAGGAGAGGGUGUUGGGUCCCCUGCAGCUGGGGGUCCAGGCGUUUGAUGGAAGCUGGGAACAGAACCCAGGCCCUUUAUUAGAACAGCGAGCAUUUAAACCACAUAGCCAUUUCUCUUGCCCUGUAAGUUAUAAAAUUUAGACUAUUUUUAGUAAAUGGAAACCCAGGUCCUCCUUAGUGAUGAACCCAAAUAGCUCUAACAUAAACCUUGAUGUGCUAUCGUAGGAGGAUUAGAGGUACACUGACAAUGGGAACUGUGAGCAAACUCUGGUUCAGACAUGCUACCCAUUGAUCAGGGACUGAUGUGGGUGAUCUGGCUGACUAGGCAGGUGCUGCUUCCCCCCUCUCUCCACUUCACAUGAGCACCAUUCUUGGUCCAAGAAGAGACAGAGGAGGAACAUUCUUCAGGGAAGGGACUAGCAAUGCUUCCCUUCUAGAACAAACUUGCGAUAUCUAUUUCAAGAGAAUGUCGCUUAGUUCUCAGGAACCUUGGCACAUCUAAAUGAGUUAUAUACACGUGUCAGUGUCCCUUUAAAUAAACAAACAUGCAAACAAACAUCUUAGUGCUUAGAAAAGACAUUUUACCAAUUCUUCAAACUAAAGUUUGAAGCCUUUUGGGAUAGGAGAAGAUUUUGUAGUUAAGACCUUUGUACAGAGAAACAUGCCAUUAAUCUCUGAUAGUUAUAAUAUGUAUUAGAUUAUAAAUCACUCUAAAAAGUCUGAUUGUGCUUAAUACAGUGAUCAUGAACUUGAGUGACCACAGAACACUUCUCAGUUUCUCUAUGUGUUGAGGGACUAAUUUCUGUGGAAAUUAGAUUUUAAGGUAAAAAUAACAAAGACUUUAAUAUAAUUUAAGUCAUAGUCAGAUGAGGGUCAGUUUAACCUUAAACAUCAAUUCCUGGCAAAGCAUAAUAAUUGUUUGAGACAUUACAUGCCAACUUUUGGACAGAUCUUUCUUAGUUAUUUUGGUUUACUUUCAUUAUUUUGGUUAAUACAUCAGGACCAUGGUGAAGGCCAUGGCAUUCUCAAAUGUCUUGUCAAAGCAGACUUAACUGUUAGUGGAAGGGGAGUGGUAGAGUGCUGAGAACUGUCUAAUCAAACACAGAUGACAGUCAUUUUAUAAACAUUCUGCUCUCUGUGCACUGGACAGUACCUGACCUUGGGUAGGUUUGUGUGCCACCAAGAGGGGACAUUUCCUUGGUUACAGUGGGAGGUCCCUCUUGGAGGUUAGCAGCAUCUAAUUAGCAUAGUCUCCCAGCUGGUAGUUUCUGAUUGGUUAAGUUAACAUGGAGUUGGGCUCAGUUGCUUUUGAAGGACCAUUAGUCACUACAACAGUGCUCUACAGUUUUGUGUCAACAUGACAUGACCUAGAGUCAUCUGAGAGGAGGGAGCCUCAAUGUUAAAAAAAAUGCCUCCAUGAUUGGGUUGUAGGCAGGUCUGUAGGAUAUUUUCUUAGUGAUUGAAGGGGAAGGCCUCAGACUGUUGUGGUUCUUGCCAUCCCUGGGCUGCUGGUCCUGGGUUCUGUAAGAAAGCAGGAUGAACAAGUCACAUAGAACAGUCUGGUAAGCAGCACCCGUCCAUGGUGUCUGCAUCAGCUCCUGCCUCCAGGAUCCUGCCCUGCUUGAAUUUCUGUCCUGACUUCCUCUGAUGAUGAACAGUGAUAUGGAAGUGUAAGCUUUCCCUUCCCAAGCUGCUUUGGGCAUGGUGUUUCAUCAUAGCCAUAGUAACCCUAAAUAAGACAAGGUGGUGCCCAGAUUGUGGGAUGUGGCUGUGACAGACCUGGCCAUGUUUUUGGGAGGACUAUGGAAGGACUUUGGAAAUUUGGGCUAGAAGAGCCAUUGAGUGUUGAGAGCUCAGAGAGCUGUUAUGAAGGAGCUUGGAAUAAGAAUGUUGAGAUUAUCUGAAGGUUCAGAGGGAGGCAAACACUCUGCCAGGGGAAACCUGUGGUAUCAGGUCAGCUGGGGCUGAAGAGUCAGCCAUAAUUAGGACGAACCCGGCACCAUUGAAGUGAGACCUUUGAGUUACUGGGACAACUGAUGCUGGUUAAAUGGGACUGAGAAGUUACUAGUGGUUAAAAAGAGAGCAGAUCAUUGUGUGGAAUUCUUCUGCAAAGUGUUUUCUGUUUCCUGAGAGUCAGCUCCCGUAAGCUGUGUUCCAGAGGUGGCUAAGGUUGUACCUCUUGCUGGCAUCUGAGCUUGGUGGUUAAGAGUCACCCAGGUGGAGCUGGUUUUGAGGCAUGAAGGGGUCAUGGAGAACAGCUGAGGCUUGUACCUUACAUUGCAGGUAAGGUACUGGAGUUCCUGAAGAAAGCCCUACAAUGAGGCCACUGGUGAAAAUGCAGCCCAGUUGUAGCAAGAGACCCCAGCAUUUUGUUGAUGCCAGUAGCAUAGGAUGACCACCAAGAACAGCAGCAGCAGUGGACCGGAGGCAGCUGGAGCCCAGAAUACAAGUUUUUUGUGCUGCAGAGUGUCAAGCUAGAGAAGUGAGUGACCCAAGGCCCUGGGAGGCUCCCAGAAGAUUGUGAGUGGAUCCUAGAUAGUUGAACACUGAGUUGUUUAUAGUAUUGGAGUAAACUAUUUAUUUUGUAUUUUAUAAGAGCCCACUGUUGAAAUAUUUUUCUGGCCAUUUUAAAGGGACUCACAUUUUUUUUUAAGAUUUAUUUAUUUUAUGUAUACGAGUACACUUCAGACACACCAGAAGAGGACAUUGAAUCCCAAUAUAGAUGGCUGUGAGCCACCAUGUGGUUGCUGGGAGUUGAACUCAGUACCUCUGGAAGAGCAGUCAGUGCUCUUAACUUCUGAGCCCCGAAGCACUCAAAUUUUAAUGUGUUUGAAUUAGAAGAAAGACUUUGUGAUUUUAAAAAGUUAUUUACAUCUUGAAUGUGAAAUUUCAGGAAAACGAGGAAGGAAGGUUUUAACAGUGAUGUAUUUGUCAAGUUGACAAUGGUCAGUUGUGCUGAAGUUUUAUGAAUUCAUGAAGAUCCCUGUAAGUCAUGUUCUUAGUGAUGGAAGAGAGAGGGACCAGCUCAGUGUGGAUUGUGCUGACUGGGGGCUGGUGGUCCUGGGCUCUAUUAGAAAGCAUAGUGAGUAAACCAUGGGGCAAGCCAGUAAGCAGCAGCCCUUCCUGGCCUCUGGGUUGGCGCCUGCCUCCAGGCUCCUGUCUUGUCGUGGAUGUGAGUCAGGUAAGGCUUUCUUCCUAGGCUGCUGUGGUCAUGGUGAUCACAGCAAUAGAAAGUGUAAGAUAAGACCCACCUAAGCCUAAUGGCCUCCCACUGAAAUAGCUUUAUUGUAAGAGUAGAAUUGACCUGUUACUGUGUAUUCUACAGUGGUUUGUACUACUCUAGACUCUAGAUGAGUGUUUCUCGACCUUCGGUCAGGGCAGCAUGGGUGGGGGUUGAACGACCCUUUCAUAGAACUCCCCCAAGACCACCGGAAAACACAGGUAUUUAAAGUAUGAUUCAUAACAGUAGCAAGGUUACAUUUAUGAAGCAGCAAUGAAAAUAAUUUUAUGGUUGGGGGUCACCAUAGCAUGAGGAACUGUAUUAAAGGGUCACAGCAUUAGAAAGAUUGCCAACCAAUGCUCUAGAUAAAGACUCAAAAAUAAAUUUUAAUGUGUAAGCAUUUUAUUAGAGGAAGAAGUAUUUGUGAAAAAAAUAAUAAACAGGUCUGAAAUAGUCCAGGGACAAAAAGGGGACUGGGGAUUUAAAGGAUACAGAGACACCAAAUGGAUACAUAUAUCACAGUGAGGUAAUAAUGUGGAAACAAGAAAGAUGGCACUGCUGUAAAGUCUGAGAAGUGCAGCAAGGCCUGCCUCACCGGUCUCCAAUCAGAGAAGUUCUGCAGCUGCUCAUGCAUACGUCCAUGAUCUUGUGUGAGAGCAGCUCUUGAGAAGCCUCAGUGCAAGCACAGUGAGAUCUCAGAGCCCAGAGUAUAUGGCCCUUAGUCUAUUACCCUCCUUGUCGAAGAUCAAAGGAGGACUUCUCCUUGAUCAGCACACAGGGUUCUAAGAUUGGGAUGUGCAUAAACGUCUCUGAAAAUCUUAAAUACAAAUCAACAGGGCCCAACUUUCAGUAUUUCUAAUAAGCUUUCUCAGAUGAGGUGGAUUUCUUGUUUUUUAGACAUUACUUUGUGUAAAAGGGGCAUGGAGGGACUGGAGAGAUGGCUCUGCAGUUAAGAACAUUUGCUGUUCUGUCAGAGGACCCAGGCUCAGUUUCUAGUACCUUUAUGGUAGCUCACAGCCAGCUGGAACUCCAGGUCCACAGCAACUCAAAGGGCAUAGCGUUGGUAGAACUCUACACAAACCCUUUAGGUAGGUUCACAGAGCACUCUUGGUGGCUUUAAUGCCCUAGCGGCAUUGUGCUACCCAGCUGUGCUGCAGUGGCACCAGCACAGUCUCAGGCUCUCUGUUUCGUGUCACUGAUUUCCAGCCCUUUGCCUUUAAUAACCACAACUGUGGACUCCUUACUUGUAUGUCCCUUGUUGAGGUCGGCAAAGCUGCAAGGAGUGGAUAUCUGAGUGCUGGCAUCGGGCAUGGAGAUUCAGUUCUGAGUGCUGGCAUCGGGCAUGGACAUUCAGUUCUGAGUGUUGGCAUCGGGCAUGGAGAUUCAGUGUGGAGUUUGCCCAGCUAGUUUUGGUCUUGCUUUGUUCUAAUUUUUCCUCACUAUGCUCCUUCCUUCCUUUUUUGGAAUGCUAAUGUAUAUCCUGUGCCAUUAUGUAUGGGAAGUGUGUGAUCUGCUC
ensembl:lncRNA